UCCUCGGUAGCUCAGUGGUAGAGCAGUGGACUGUUAAUCCAUUGGUCGCUGGUUCGAAUCCAGCCCGGGGAG
rnacentral:tRNA from 1 species